CCUACGGGGGGCUGCAGUCGAGGAUCUUCGGCAAUGGGCGCAAGCCUGACCGAGCGAUGCCGCGUGGGCGACGAAGGCCUUCGGGUUGUAAAGCCCUGUCGGGAGGGAGAAAGGCGUAAGCUUGAUCGACCUCCGGAGGAAGCACGGGCUAAGUUCGUGCCAGCAGCCGCGGUAAGACGAACCGUGCGAACGUUGUUCGGAAUCACUGGGCUUAAAGGGCGCGUAGGCGGGCCGCCAAGUCUGGGGUGAAAUCCUCCGGCUCAACCGGAGAAGUG
rnacentral:rRNA from 1 species